AGAGGCAGCGCCACAAAGCCAAGGAACGUCUUCCUUCCUCGUCUGCUCAUCUGCUUCUCUGCUCCCAGACAUCUCUCAACCAACCCGAAUCUGGUGAUACACAGAUGCAUACAACAGGGGAUGGUAGCACACGCCUAUAAUGCUCUAGAGGUGGAGGCAGGAGGACUACCCUCGAGCUUAAGGCCAUCCUGGACUAUGUAGUGAAGAUCAUGUCAUAGAAAAGCCGUCAGAGCAUUCCAAAUUAUUCCUGACAAGCUAAAACUUUCAUUUUAAGAAUCCUUAAGAAUUUCUGGACAGUUAUCUGGUAGCAAAUCCUCCGUCGGAAUUCCUCAGGCUCAGUAACUGGAACGAGAGAGAGCACCCAGACAGCUGAGCAUACAAGGACAGCAUGACUUGGCUGAAGCACCGCUGACAACCAACAGGACAGGAAUGAGGGGUAAGAAGCCAGUUUCCAGACGUGGUAGGUGCCCAAUGCAGCUGCACAACUUCUGGAGACAUACUCCACUAUCAGGCCAAUAUAGACCUCCAUGGGAAAAUAUAUACAAGAAGCGGAUGUGCCAAAGGACUUUGCACAAAGAUGAACAGACAUUUCCAAUUCUUUGGAUACCCACCAAAGACCACCAAACCUCCCAAAUGAGACCUGCAGAAAGCUCAUCACAAAUAUGGACAGUUCCUUGAGCCUCAGAAGCUAAGAAGAGAAGCCUCGGGGACCACACCGCCUGCUUCUGGGACGGGCUAGGCACCGUAUCUUAUACUGCAGAGCCUUCAUACCCAACCAAAGUUCCAAGGAUCUACCCCAGGGUUCGUUCAGUCUUAGACUCUGACAUCCUACAACUCCGUCUGAAUCUGCUAAGACAUAACCACAGAAGAUGAAGGAAGCUGCUCACCACAUCCACAGCAUCACACAGCCGCUCUCGGGGGAUAUGCUCGGUGAUCGAGGGACACUGAUUCUGCAGGAGCAGCACGGCCUUCAAAGCCUCGGCUGUGCAGUCAGCAACGAUCCAGCCACAGUCCAGUGUGCUGAAGGAGAAACCACCCUACAGAGAUAGAGUGCAACAGUGCUCCUCCCUAGAGAGCUGCAACAGUCACGGCAAGGCCUAGCCACCACCGCACAGGGUACCUGAAUGGGACACAGUUGAGCAGACUUCUUGCCCUGCCUGAAUGCCCUCCAAUCUUAGCAAUAAAACAGGUCUGGAACC
rnacentral:lncRNA from 1 species